rnacentral:rRNA from 1 species
GACGAACGCUGGCGGCGUGCUUAACACAUGCAAGUCGAACGGAAAGGCCCUGCUUUUGUGGGGUGCUCGAGUGGCGAACGGGUGAGUAACACGUGAGUAACCUGCCCUUGACUUUGGGAUAACUUCAGGAAACUGGGGCUAAUACCGGAUAGGAGCUCCUGCUGCAUGGUGGGGGCUGGAAAGUUUCGGCGGUUGGGGAUGGACUCGCGGCUUAUCAGCUUGUUGGUGGGGUAGUGGCUUACCAAGGCUUUGACGGGUAGCCGGCCUGAGAGGGUGACCGGCCACAUUGGGACUGAGAUACGGCCCAGACUCCUACGGGAGGCAGCAGUGGGGAAUAUUGCACAAUGGGCGGAAGCCUGAUGCAGCAACGCCGCGUGCGGGAUGACGGCCUUCGGGUGGUAAACCGCUUUCGCCUGUGACGAAGCGUGAGUGACGGUAAUGGGUAAAGAAGCACCGGCUAACUACGU